UACGGAGGGUGCAAGCGUUAAUCGGAAUUACUGGGCGUAAAGCGCACGCAGGUGGCUGAGUCAGUCGAUUGUGAAAGCCCUGGGCUUAACCUGGGAAUUGCAGUCGAUACUACUCAGCUAGAGUAUGGGAGAGGGUAGUGGAAUUCCCGGUGUAGCGGUGAAAUGCGCAGAUAUCAGGAGGAACACCGGUGGCGAAGGCGGGUCUCUGGGCCGAUACUGACGCUGAGAAGCGAAAGCAUGGGGAGCGAACAGG
rnacentral:rRNA from 1 species